rnacentral:tRNA from 1 species
GCUCCAGUGGCGAAAUUGGUACACGCGAUGGACUUAGGAUCCAUUGGGAAACCUUGCAGGUUCGAGUCCUGUCUGGAGCACCA